GCUCUGUGAUUUUUUUUUAUUAUAUUCUGUGUGAUUCUGAAAAACGUACUAUUUUAGACAAAAUUUAAAAACAGUCAAUUUAUUUUAUUUUAUUUUAUGUAUUAUGUCUUCUCUUUAUUUAAGUUUUGGCGCUACUAUUUUUUAAAAAAAUUCUUUGAGUCGGUUUGAAUUUCCCCAAAACUGCUUUUAUUUUUUAUUUUUUU
rnacentral:lncRNA from 1 species